UACGUAGGCAGCGAGCGUUGUUCGGAGUUACUGGGCGUAAAGGGUGUGUAGGCGGUUCUUUAAGUUUGGUGUGAAAUCUCCCGGCUCAACCGGGAGGGUGCGCCGAAUACUGAGGGACUUGGAGUGCGGGAGAGGAAAGUGGAAUUCCUGGUGUAGCGGUGAAAUGCGUAGAUAUCAGGAGGAACACCGGUGGUGUAGACGGCUUUCUGGACCGUAACUGACGCUGAGACACGAAAGCGUGGGUAGCAAACAGGAUAG
rnacentral:rRNA from 1 species